AGUGAACGCUGGCGGUAGGCCUAACACAUGCAAGUCGAACGGCAGCACAGUAAGAGCUUGCUCUUACGGGUGGCGAGUGGCGGACGGGUGAGGAAUACAUCGGAAUCUACUUUUUCGUGGGGGAUAACGUAGGGAAACUUACGCUAAUACCGCAUACGACCUACGGGUGAAAGCAGGGGAUCUUCGGACCUUGCGCGAUUGAAUGAGCCGAUGUCGGAUUAGCUAGUUGGCGGGGUAAAGGCCCACCAAGGCGACGAUCCGUAGCUGGUCUGAGAGGAUGAUCAGCCACACUGGAACUGAGACACGGUCCAGACUCCUACGGGAGGCAGCAGUGGGGAAUACUGGACAAUGGGCGAAAGCCUGAUCCAGCCAUACCGCGUGGGUGAAGAAGGCCUUCGGGUUGUAAAGCCCUUUUGUUGGGAAAGAAAAGCAGCAGGUUAAUACCCCGCUGUUCUGACGGUACCCAAAGAAUAAGCACCGGCUAACUUCGCG
rnacentral:rRNA from 1 species